GUGUGUUCAUGCGUGCACACGUGUACCCGUGUGCCCACACACUGCCAGCACGUGUGCUAGCUUGCAAGUUUUCAGUUUGAGUACAGACACCAGGCCGUAGCCCAAUGGCGGCAGUGACAGGGAGGACCGUGGCAGCAUGUAACAAUCAGAAGACAACUUCAGCAUUUUCACUCUGUCCUAAAAAGGUGGUCAAGUGUGCUAACCACACCCUCUCAGCAGGAUCCCGCGCCUCAAGAGCCCUAGGUCCCGCCCCACACUCCCUCAAACCCUCAGUGCAGCGCUUGUGUCAGGCGCAAUCUCGUAAGACCGGGUGAGGCGCUACAUCGUGUUCCACUCGGUCCCAAAAGGGCCCGCAAGAGCCACACACUUGCGCUCUGCGCCCUUGCUCUGUUCUCACUUUCCGAGAUAUCCACGCAUCUUGAGUCCUGCAUCCACUCCCGGGAGGCGGCUGCGGCAAGCGCGUGAUGGAAGAAGAGCGUCAUAGCCAGCCAGACAGGUGGCCAGAGCGGAGCGGAUUCCUAAAAUGCUUGCCAGCUAUGCGGAGAUGAAGGUGAGGUUUCAAUGAUUCACAUCGACCUCAAGAACCCGAAGCCUCGGUCUCUCUAAUCGGAUCAGACAUCAUCAUUCAACACUUCAAUGUUAGAAUUGCAAGCAUGCGCUCUCCCGACCUGGGCAGGCACUUCGAAAAACUGAUGACUAAAGACACAUGUGAAGUACCAAGCGAACUCACGUCCUUAUGGGACAGUGACUCAUCACACUCUAAUUCCAUCCUGGCCACCAAGCAGUAAUGCACAGUUUCUAACUGGUUAAGUCAAGCAAACAGCAACACUUUCACACUUGUGCCCAUUUCUGACGAGUUACGUCAAGUGGCAACCAACACUUCCACAUAGCCUUGCCACAGCUUCGUGUGGCACAAGAUAGGACCAACCACGCCCUACCAUAAUGCACCAAGUGUACCCUCGGGCAAAGCCCGCCAAGGAGCUAAAGCCCGCCAAAAAAAAAAUCACUGAAAGAAACCACUAGAGGGCAGGUCACAUGACUUCCGCCAUCUUAGACACACUCAAGAGCAUGUGCCACCUCUCCAGGCUAACUCAGACAUGAAGCUGACAUGUGAAACACAAAGCCCUUUGCGUUAUACUGCACCAAGAACUUGAGCCGCCAUCUUUUCCUGUACGACCUAAAUGUCCUAUAUCCAUUGCUACACACCAGAACAAAGGUUGGGCUGUCGAGCCUCGGGUGGAGCCCCCGAGCCGCCAUUUUACAGACUUCUGAGCAGCCCUUAAAGCCACGGGGGACCCCGCUAGGGGUCCAUAUGCACACACACCCUGCCCAAUCCCCACACCCACGCUGAGCCCUAUCCCCUAGUCCUCUGCGGCUUCCGCGCAACACCGCACACUAAUACGAGCACUCCUUGGCUUUCUACUUCCGGCUCGCACAACCCCGCAAAUGCUACCACAAAUCAAGGCGAAUCCCGCAACCCCGCACAUAUAAAGAAAGCCUUUAGCUAGCGCAGCGCAAUUGGUUGCUUCUAUCCAGUCCGCUGUGCUUCUCGGUGUCCUAAUUCUUGGCGUAACUGGCUCGAGAAUAGCCGUAUCACGCAGAAACCAUAAUGGCGGACGCGGGCUCUCCACGCCCUGAACACCCACUCAGUUUAAGCGCAAAGUCGUUUUUUCUAAGCCAUAGGUUCACUCACACAGCACCAAACGAUCAGCAGCAACAGUACACACAAAUAAGAGGCAUAGAUAUUCCAGGUAGUGCAAUAACUCACAAAACCAUAUUUCCAUCCACCAAGCGCCCCGUUGGGCCGUGAAAAAAAAAAUUAAAGCAGGUAUCCACAGCCCCGAUGGGCAAAAGAAAAGGAAAAAAAAAUAAUAACAGCAGGUAUCCGAGGCCCCGUUGGGCAUGGGAAAAAAGACUAAACGCAGGUAUCCGAGGUCCCGAUGGACCGAGAAAGAAGGUUUUUUUUUUUUUUUUAACAAAAAGCAGGUAUCCAUGGCCCCGAUGGGCUAAGGAGAAGAAAAAAAGAAUAAAAGCAGGUAUCCACAGCCCAGAUGGGCAAGUUUAGGAAAAAAAUAAGAAAAAAAGAAUUAAAAGGCAGGUAAGUAUCCAAAGCCCCGUUGGGCAUGGAAUGGCGGGGAGGACACACAGGUAUCCGUGGCCCCGAUGGGCAAGAAUAUUUAAACAAUGAAAGAAAGGUAAGUCCACCAUACACACACAAGUAUCAACCAAAAGGCACAACAAAAAAAUAUUCCUUAAAAAUGAAAAAAAUGACUGAAAAUAUUACAAAUAUCAAAAAGUAUGGAGGACGUGUCUAAAAAAACCUUACCAGAACAUAUCAAAACGUCAAAAAUCUCGUGGAAUUUUGAUAUGUUUUCUUAAAUAAGCCAUAAGGCUUGGUGGUAGGGGAACUAAAAAUGUUCCCCCAAAGCUCCUCAGAUGGAGAGAAACCACGGAAGAACCGCACAUCCACGGGAAACGAGCAAACAUGGCUGGAGCAAGCCGUUGCACGCCUUUAACUGAUCGCGGCGCUGAAGGCGGAGAGACCAGAAGAGGAGUGGCCACAAAGAUUGCAAGUCUGACAUCUUAUUGGACCUUUAGGUCUAACUAUAUUAUAAAAAAUUAAAAUGAAUAAAAAUGGAGGUAUGUAAGCUCGGUGACAGGACGCGUGAAUUUCAUUAUUUUACGAAAUAGUGAAGGGUUAUCUUCUAUUUUACAGCUAAAAACGUUUAUGUGGAACUUCCACAUAAACGUUAAAUAAUGUACAUUAGGUCACACUCCUGUCUAUGCAAAAUUUCAAUGUAUCUUCUACUUGGACAAACCAUGUAUCGCUCCGCGUCUUGGACACUAGAAGUUCUUCUGCAUUAGUUGACGACCUCAGAUGAGGAGAGGAAAGGGUCGAAAUGCCUCACAAAAUGGCUCCUUGGUUCCUAAAUUAUCAGAGUAUUAGUUGCGACCUAUUUGGUGGGCUUAUGCUCAUAGUCUUGGGUCUUUGACGUUUUAGUCUUUCUCUGGGAACCUGGUGACUCCAUACCUUGGGACAAAAAUGCACUGAAGUACGUUACUCGCUAGCAGUAAUGAAAAAUAAUUCCUAAAUGCCAAAGCAAAGCCUGAGGGAAUAAUAGCUCAUUGGUAGCUUACUCACCCCAGAGAAACUGCUAACUUAAAAGAACUGUCAAAUUUUGUUAACUGUCAAACUAUGAAUAUCCACAUGAAAGAGAUCAGACACCACUGGGUAUUAGAAAAUCAAAGGAUAUUGUUGUCUCGUUGAUUCACGCUGACAAAUAAUUCACAGUCUAUUCUAAGUUCCCUUUAGGUGUCCCAUGAAUAAUAAAGGACACAAAAUUGGUUUGCUUAUGGACGAUCAAAGUACCAGCAAUUCACUAAUCUUACUAAUGAGGUGGUUCAGGUAGGGAUGGAAAAAUAUCUGCUACAAAAUAAACCGUUUCAACAAAAGAAAAAAAUUAACAACUAAAUAAAUGAUGCACACAGACUGAAUAAACCAGCAGGUGGCAGCAUGAAUCUUUCCAAGGCCCCUGAAGCCAAACUUGGAGUGCAAAAGGAUUACUAUCUGAAUUGAAAAGUAAAGGUUACUUUGUCUAACAAAGUAACAAGCACAUGGGAACCCUCCAAAAGUAUCACCAGUGAGAAGUCAAAUAGGGACAUAUUACGGAAAAAAAGACCCAAGAAAGGGCUCUUCACAGCUAAGAACACCUGUCUCCACAAUGUAUAUGGCUUUGUAUAAACGAGAACUUCUAAAUGAGCUGUACAGAGAGAAUUUAGAACUUGGGAGGUACUGGUCACAGAUUAUGCAAGCCAGUCUAUCCUUUUGUGGGGAUGCUAGAGAGAAUCAUCAAAUAAAAGAGUUGAAUUUAGUCUCUGUGUUUUACUUAGUCCCAAUUCUUGCAAACCUCAUCAUUCUAUCUCACACCAUGCACAUCAAGGUAUGUUGUGUUUCAGAGACAGUUUUUAGUCUUAUCACAAGAUUGCAUGAAGGGAUGUGUGCUAAAACUCAGUUCCUGGGCUGGAGAGAUGGCUCAGUGGUUAGGAGUGCUAACUGCUCUUCCAGAGGGCCUGAGUUCAAUUCUCAGCAACUUCGUAGUGGCUCACAGUCAUCUGUAGUGGGAUCCGAUAUCUAAUCUCUUCUGAUGUGUCUGAACAAUGACCAACAGUGUCCUCACAUUAAAUAAAUAUUUUUCUAAAAAACACCUCCA
rnacentral:lncRNA from 1 species